CCUACGGGUGGCAGCAGUGAGGAAUAUUGGUCAAUGGACGCAAGUCUGAACCAGCCAUGCCGCGUGCAGGAAGACGGCUCUAUGAGUUGUAAACUGCUUUUGUACGAGGGUAAACGCAGAUACGCGUCUCUGUCUGAAAGUAUCUUACGAAUAAGGAUCGGCUAACUCCGUGCCAGCAGCCGCGGUAAUCCGGAGGAUUCAAGCGUUAUCCGGAUUUAUUGGGGUUAAAGGGUGCGUAGGCGGUCUGUUAAGUUAGGGGUGAAAUCCCGAGGCUCAACUUCGGAAUUGCCUCUGAUACUGUUAGGCUAGAGAGUAGGUGCGGUAGGCGGAAUGUAUGGUGUAGCGGUGAAAUGCUUAGAGAUCAUACAGAACACCGAUUGCGAAGGCAGCUUACCAAGCUACUUCUGACGUUGAGGCACGAAAGCGUGGGGAGCAAACAGGAUUAGAUACCCGAGUAGUC
rnacentral:rRNA from 1 species